UUCUCGGUUUUGUGAGCGUCGUUCAUUGAUCCGUUCUUGCACACCAAGACUCGAAACAGCACGAAAACAUUCUAGCACAUGUCAUUUAGCCUAAAUGCGAGGGUGGGCGCCACCCCAUCUCUCCUUGCAAAGAGGGAUUGGCACUUUCACAGUGCCGACACUUCCAACGUCCAGGCACGCCAAAGAAACGGAAUCCUCUCCAACAGAUGUCCCGGUCCCUGCUGCUGCUGGAUGAUGGAUCAUUGUGAGACUGCCGGGGUGGAUGUAGGUGGUGGUGAAAGGUGGUGAACACAGUCAGCCUUUCUUGCCUGCAGGCCCAUAACACACAGAUCAGCUUUGUCUGCAGAUCUGGAGACUGGGGGUCAGUUCCACAGCCAGGCAGAUGCCUAUAACUCUGCAAGCUAACAUUUCUUCUCUUCAUAGACCACAUUAACAUCUGCUGAGAUGGCAGGGUUACCUUUGCUGGUGACCUUGGGGAGUACCUCCUCCAAUUCUGUACUGGGCCACCCUCCAAAAUCAACAAAAACAACACAAUAGGAAUACAUAACUAAGGACUUGCAGUGAUAGGGGAGGGGAGUAUGUACACAUAUUAUCCACAAUUUUGACAUUUUUUUAUCAAAGAUCAGUUUGCUGAACUUCAAGCUGAUGAUUAUAAUCUUUUAAUUGCUUGUCUUACCCAAUGCUUAUUCAGAAUAUUAUACUCUGUUCCCCCUACAGCUGAACAUACAGUUCAUGGAAAAACCAGAUAAAAUAGACUAAUUUAAUAAAAGAACAUACACUUGAUGUGUUUGGAUUGUAUAUACAGGGGAGCAUCAUUACACAGGAUACAAAAACAUGGAUAGCAAGUCAGUCGUCAUACAGAGUUUGUAUCAAAUGCGUUCCAGUUUCAUAAUGUUCAGAACAAGGACAUGGAAAGUGGCUUUGUUUCUUCAUCCAUCUGAGAGUGCACAUUCUCUGGGUCCAUGUACGUCAAUGGCAGCAGUCAGGGUAGCUGUAAAUUGACACUGCAGUUGGAUUCCUCUCUAGUUUACUCUUAUUUACACUACACAAAUCCAUUAUUUAGUGGUUAUACAUAGAAAAGGGCUCCACUUUGUGGGGGGAAGCAGAACUGGAGGCAAGAUUCCAGCAGAGAGUUUGGGGAGCUCUCUGAAACUGUAAAAGGGAGCUCUGUGCAGGCAUGGUCAAUUUUUGGGGCUGGGCACUUUCAGCAGGGAUGAGAUCAGUAGCUUUUGAGGGGAGGGGGGGAGGGUAAGGAUGAUCAGCUGCACCUCCCACUCUGCACUUCCUGUGUGGUUGACACUCCAUCAAAGGCUCUUUUCAUGAGAGUCAGAGAGUGGUAACCAACCACUGAACCAAGCACAGGGAUGAUUCACCUGGCAGUCAGCAAGGGAAUAUUUUUCUUUUUUGACAUAAUUCCCAUAUUUAAGCAAAACAUGUUGGUGACUGUCUAGUAUGUGUUUGUGUUAGGCUUAAAUGCUCAGUGCUCUUUAAAGCUACAGGGAAGGAGUUGCUUGAUAUGCCAUUCUAUUUUUACCCUGCUCUCGCCCCCUUGGCACAGACAUGUCAUUGAGCUUGGUUUUUGUGAUCAGGUACAGUAUAGCAGUGUAUCAUGACCGCAGUAGACCACGAAUAAAGCUGUUUGAGCAGGCCCAAUACUUAAUGUUACUCACAACCUGUGUAACUCAAUGAAUAUGUCUGUUGGAUGGAUAGAUUUGUCUCAAACAAGACGUUCCUCAGAGAACAGACUCAAUUUAAUUUUGUCAUUAACACAAAUUCAUUGCACUGAUUUACAGUGUGUUUUCUUAAGAGAAGACCCUGCUGUGCUGUGGGUAAGUGCAAUAUAACUGACUUUUAUCAUUUCUUUCAUAUGGUCUUUCAAAAGGAACAGAACAGCAUUCGACAUUGUCACUAAAAGCCAGUAAUAUGUAUUUAUGCAAAACAAUGAGUAGACAUAAUUAGCCAACAACUGAAUUUGAUUGUUUAAAUUGUUACUGUUCACUUGAAAAAAGUUACUCAUCUGUUAAAAUAUUUUAUCACUAAAUUUAGAAAUAGAAUAUAUUAUAAAAGAUAUACCUGUCAAGUUCUACUGUUGAGCAAUAACUUAAGUGAACAUUUAAGAUUUUUUUGUCAGCACAAAAGAUUGCCAUGGCAUAUGAUACACCAUAGAAAAAUAAAAUUACACCCCCAUUGCAGU